GGCCCAUCCUCCAAGGCUAAAUACUCCUGACUGACCGAUAGUGAACCAGUACCGUGAGGGAAAGGCGAAAAGAACCCCGGCGAGGGGAGUGAAAAAGAACCUGAAACCGUGUACGUACAAGCAGUGGGAGCACGCUUAGGCGUGUGACUGCGUACCUUUUGUAUAAUGGGUCAGCGACUUAUAUUCUGUAGCAAGGUUAACCGAAUAGGGGAGCCGAAGGGAAACCGAGUCUUAACUGGGCGUUAAGUUGCAGGGUAUAGACCCGAAACCCGGUGAUCUAGCCAUGGGCAGGUUGAAGGUUGGGUAACACUAACUGGAGGACCGAACCGACUAAUGUUGAAAAAUUAGCGGAUGACUUGUGGCUGGGGGUGAAAGGCCAAUCAAACCGGGAGAUAGCUGGUUCUCCCCGAAAGCUAUUUAGGUAGCGCCUCGUGAAUUCAUCUCCGGGGGUAGAGCACUGUUUCGGCA
rnacentral:rRNA from 1 species